AAUAUAGAACUGUCAAUCAAAUAAUCGCGGUUUGUCCUAGCUAGCUACAUCUAGCAAGUAGGCCUGUCGUUUUCAGUUCUGCAUCUCUGUUACACAUGUAGCAGGUUCCGGAGUUAAUGCAUUCGGGAACACACCCACUCCAUCAGUUGCAACAUGUGGCCUCAAGAGGGCGGCAAAGGACCAGGAAAAGAAAUAUGCCCGCGAUGCACGGCAGCUGGUGAAAAGAGCCUUCUAUGUUGAUGGCGCACUCCGGUUAUUGCCCGCCAGAGCUGAAGCCAUGGAUGUACUGAGGCGCAUACAAUGAGAUUUUGGCUGCUUCCAACCGAAGGUAACACAAAAUGGCCUGAAAACCGUGCUGACGUCAUGAAUGCCUUUCCUGCAGAGGACAGAGCCAAGGAAAUGAAAGAUUUGGAUCGUUCUGUUGAUGAUCUUUGGAUGAGUGUGUCUGCCAAAUAAAUGUAAUGGAAUUUGA